GACGAACGCUGGCGGCGUGCUUAACACAUGCAAGUCGAACGAAGUGGCGAACGGGUGAGUAACGCGUAAUCAACCUGCCCUUCAGAGGGGGACAACAGUUGGAAACGACUGCUAAUACCGCAUACUGAAGGAGGGGAUUGCGUCGGAUUAGCUAGUUGGAGGGGUAACGGCCCACCAAGGCGAUAAUCAGUAUGCGGUCUGAGGAGAAGAACGGCCACAUUGGGAAUGGGACACGGCCCAGACUCCUACGGGAGGCAGCAGGGGGGAAUCUUCCGCAAUGGGCGAAAGUCUGACGGAGCAACGCCGCGUGAGUGGUGACGGCCUUCGGGUUGUAAAGCUCUGUUAAUCGGGACGCGGUACCGGAAUAGAAAGCAACGGCUAACUACGUGCCAGCCGCCGCGGUAAUUC
rnacentral:rRNA from 1 species